AAAGGGUAACACCGGCUACGGAUGGCCAUGCGGCGCAUUAGCUAGUUGGCGGGGUAACGGCCCACCAAGGCGACGAUGCGUAGGGGUUCUGAGAGGAAGGUCCCCCACACUGGUACUGAGACACGGACCAGACUCCUACGGGAGGCAGCAGUGAGGAAUAUUGGUCAAUGGGCGCGAGCCUGAACCAGCCAAGUCGCGUGAGGGAAGACGGUCCUAUGGAUUGUAAACCUCUUUUGUCGGGGAGCAAAAGACGCCACGUGUGGCGUUCCGAGAGUACCCGAAGAAAAAGCAUCGGCUAACUCCGUGCCAGCAGCCGCGGUAAUACGGAGGAUGCGAGCGUUAUCCGGAUUUAUUGGGUUUAAAGGGUGCGCAGGCGGAAGAUCAAGUCAGCGGUAAAAUUGAGAGGCUCAACCUCUUCGAGCCGUUGAAACUGGUUUUCUUGAGUGAGCGAGAAGUAUGCGGAAUGCGUGGUGUAGCGGUGAAAUGCAUAGAUAUCACGCAGAACUCCGAUUGCGAAGGCAGCAUACCGGCGCUCAACUGACGCUCAUGCACGAAAGUGUGGGUAUCGAACAGGAUUAGAUACCCUGGUAGUCCACACAGUAAACGAUGAAUACUAAUUGUUCGGGGAGAAUGA
rnacentral:rRNA from 1 species